rnacentral:rRNA from 1 species
AUUGAACGCUGGCGGCAUGCCUUACACAUGCAAGUCGAACGGCAGCACGGGAGCAAUCCUGGUGGCGAGUGGCGAACGGGUGAGUAAAGUAUCGGAACGUGCCCAGUCGUGGGGGAUAACGUAGCGAAAGUUACGCUAAUACCGCAUACGAUCUAUGGAUGAAAGCGGGGGAUCGCAAGAACUCGCGCGAUUGGAGCGGCAGAUAUCAGAUUAGGUAGUUGGUGGGGUAAAGGCCCACCAAGCCGACGAUCUGUAGCUGGUCUGAGAGGACGACCAGCCACACUGGGACUGAGACACGGCCCAGACUCCUACGGGAGGCAGCAGUGGGGAAUUUUGGACAAUGGGCGAAAGCCUGAUCCAGCCAUGCCGCGUGCAGGAUGAAGGCCUUCGGGUUGUAAACUGCUUUUGUACGGAACGAAAAGGACUGCCCUAAUACGGUGGUCCCAUGACGGUACCGUAAGAAUAAGCACCGGCUAACUACGUGCCAGCAGCCGCCGUAA